rnacentral:misc_RNA from 1 species
GAUUUAUUGGCCAAGCGUAAAUCACUUGGGGUAUGUUGCGAUCAUUUGGAGGCAUCAAAGUGAUCAAUGAUGUGAAGAUGCAACCAUACAUAAUAAGACGAGAUGUAAGAUUUUGCCCUUAACUAUGUUUGAUAAACCACGUAGCAUGGUAAAGAAUCAACAUAUAAUCAUAUCCUCGAAUAAAGAACAAGAUUCAAUCCAGAACCACAGCUUGGCCAUGUAGCUUUCUUUAUCUCGAGCCCUCUAGAGUACACGGUCUCGGCCACUGCCGUGGGACUGAAGUGAAGCUUUGUGACUCACUGAAUGCUCUGUCAAUGUUCACAGUUGUCAUCACUUUCUUUUUACAUGUACAAUUGACCCUUCAAAUUUACACACACCAGAGAGAGAGAGGAACUUGAUUGUGGCAGUUUCUUGCAUGCAUUCCAUCAUCUUAAAUCCACCAAAAGGCAAUCAGACUGGCUUGCCUUCUUCACACCUUAUUUUUCAGCUACUUCAUCCUGCUGCAUGGCGUUCGAGAAAAAAGCAUGCACGAUUUAAUCGAUCAUUGAGACAGCCUAUUGGAGGAAAAAGAUAUAGAAAGACAAUAUUUUAGCACUCAUCACAAUGUUUUUCGUUAUUUUGGCACCAAUGGUGCUCAUAUUCUGAUAUUACAUGAAUAGAAAGAAUCUUAUUGCAGAACAAAAUUAAUAACCAAUAGAUAAGUUCAAUAGAAUAAGCAAAAAUAACUCCAGAAAAAUCAAAUAAUUUCUUCAACUAACAGUUCUCCAAGCGAAUACAAUUUCCUCUGCUGUAACAUACUACUAGAAGAUGUUUUCAGAAUAUUUCAGCAUCCUUGCAAAUCCAUCCCAGUAAUACCUUGAAUAACUCUGUUAUGAGCUAUAAGAAAAAUGAAUGCGUUAAGAGAUGAUGAUGGGUGAAAAAAUAACCCUUAAAUGGAAAAUGAUAUUCCUUAUAAUAGAUGCUCAGGAUGAAAGAUUCUAUGAAUCUUGAAGCCAGCAAUAUUGCAGAACAAAAUUAAUAACCAAUAGAUAAGUUCAAUAGAAUAAGCAAAAAUAACUCCAGAAAAAUCAAAUAAUUUCUUCAACUAACAGUUCUCCAAGCGAAUACAAUUUCCUCUGCUGUAACAUACUACUAGAAGAUGUUUUCAGAAUAUUUCAGCAUCCUUGCAAAUCCAUCCCAGUAAUACCUUGAAUAACUCUGUUAUGAGCUAUAAGAAAAAUGAAUGCGUUAAGAGAUGAUGAUGGGUGAAAAAAUAACCCUUAAAUGGAAAAUGAUAUUCCUUAUAAUAGAUGCUCAGGAUGAAAGAUUCUAUGAAUCUUGAAGCCAGCAAUAGGCAGGUAACAAUAGGUGAGAAAGUAACACUAAUGGAAAGCAUGCUUGCUAAGUAUACAGCAAACUUAAAAAGCUAAUUGCAUCAAAAUAGCAUUCAAAGGAUGCACAUUUCUCCUUAUUUACGGUUCACACUUACAGUUGAUGAAGGUAGAAAUGCUUCAUAUAUAUGCUAUUGCAUGAGCUCUCUUCAAAAAUCCAAAGAUCUCAAAAAUCCAAAGAUCUCAAUUUUUGAAACAAAUCAUAGAAUAACUGAAUAAGAAAACA